rnacentral:rRNA from 1 species
AUGUUAACGAAUUGGUCGAUUACGAAAACUAGACUUUCUCAAUUUAGAGACUUAAGAGCAGAAGAAAAAAUGGGAAAAUUCCACCAUCUCCCAAAAAGAGAUGUGGCAAUCUUGAAGAGAAAAUUAUCUACCUUGCAAAGGUAUCUCGGCGGGAUCAAAUAUAUGACGAGAUUGCCAGACAUUGUGAUCGUCCUUGAUCAGCAAAAAGAGUAUAUAGCUCUUCGGGAAUGUGCCAUUUUGGGGAUUCCUACUAUUUCUUUAGUCGAUACAAAUUGUGACCCGGAUCUCGCGAAUAUAUCGAUUCCAGCCAACGAUGACACUAUGACUUCAAUUCGAUUGAUUCUUAACAAAUUAGUAUUUUCAAUUUGUGAGGGCCGUUCUCUCUAUAUAAGUAAUCGUUGA